ACUGCCAUGUUGAAAAACCCAGGGGCCCGUUCUUAGUAUGUCACUAACUCAGUUAGCUGGAUUUGAUUGUUGACGAUUUGGCAUGAUCUUGGAUUAUUUGGU